rnacentral:lncRNA from 1 species
GUUCAGGCUGGCCACCGCCACCAACCGAAAAAAACAGCGGCGUAUAUCCGGGUUGAAAUCCUGGGUAGGGAUUCGUCCCUUGACCUGGAUUAGAUUUGGAUCCCUGACCCGUCGGCGCGUAUCCGGGUUGAAAUCCCGGGUAGGGAUUCAUCCCUUGACCUGGGAUAGAUCCGGUUCCUUGAUCCGGAAUGGAUCCGAAUCCCUGAGCCGAAUUCUUCUGGCCCGAUGCUUCUGUUGGGCCCGUUACAAAUGGUGAUGGCCCAAAAGGAUAUUAGGUCCAUACCUGUCCUGGCGACGGGCCAAAAGGAUACUGGGUCCAUACUUGUCCAUAUGCUGGAGGAAAGGAUGGAGGCCACUGGAUUGGGCCGGAGGUUUGGCCCAACGUCUGAAUCAACCUUGCAGAAAGAGUUUCCUUUGAUGGUUGAACAUAAGCUUGAUCUUCGCUAGGCAGAAUAGCUAGAUCUGAGGUAGGUGUCUCCUCUGUUGAUGAGUUCUCAACAUUAUUUGUCAUGGCACCAAAUAAAAAUUGAAUUCCUAACCGUUUUGCUGGUCUGUUUCGCAGGUAAAGAUCAUGCAACAAUAGGCUAGAAAAAGAAUAGUGGCAAUUCAAGAAUAUGCGGAAGCUAAGCCAGGAGUAUCUGCUCUGAUACCAUGACUGAAAAUGUAAUGGAGACUUGGAAAAAGGCUUUUCCUCUGUAUAUUCGUUUUGUACAUUUACAUUACAUUGGUAAAUUUAUAGUGUAAGAGACAAAAGAAUAAAACAGGAAAAAAUAAUAAAUGAAUCUCUAUUUUCCUAUUUUCCUAUUUACCAAAACUAAUCCACGAUUGACUAAAUCAUAAUCAACGGAAUCGGAAUCUUCAAGAUAUAUUUCCAAUAGGAGCAA